CAGUCGUACCUGCGGAUAAUCAGCCUUUAGAUGCGAUUUUGUGGAGCGUGAAGAGCUAAUCGCCUUCAUGCCUGUAUAUUCGUGUACUUGGGGCGUACUUAUUCGUGUGGUAAGUUAACAUCAAUCUUGGUGGUCAUAAAAUGGCUGGAGGAAUGUAGCUUCGAUCCUGUAUUGAAGUGUAUAGCCUUCGGUAGAUGUGACGAUCGGGAAUUGAGGAUUGCAACGGAUACCCUUCGGGGCUACCGUAUCUGAUCUCUGAUUG
rnacentral:rRNA from 1 species